AACGCGAAGAACCUUACCCAGGUUUGACAUACAGAGGACGGUAGCAGAAAUGUUACUUCCCGCAAGGGUCUCUGAACAGGUGCUGCAUGGCUGUCGUCAGCUCGUGCCGUGAGGUGUUGGGUUAAGUCCCGCAACGAGCGCAACCCUUAUCAUUAGUUGCCAACACGCGAGGUGGGGACUCUAAUGAGACUGCCUAGGUUAACUAGGAGGAAGGUGAGGAUGACGUCAAGUCCGCAUGGCCUUUAUAUCUGGGGCUACACACGUGCUACAAUGGUCGGUACAGAAGGCAGCGAAAUCGCAAGAUGAAGCAAAUCCCAAAAAGCCGAUCUCAGUUCGGAUUGUAGUCUGCAACUCGACUACAUGAAGUCGGAAUUGCUAGUAAUGGCGGGUCAGCAACACCGCCGUGAAUACGUUCCCGGGCCUUGUA
rnacentral:rRNA from 1 species